rnacentral:ncRNA from 1 species
AGCAAAGAUAAAAACACAACGCAGGAGGAAAUUUCCUGUAGAUCUGGUAGGUAGUCCAGACACACUUUCGUAAAGUGUAAGUAACCCUCCCUCCUUGGGUCGUCCGUUCUUUGUGUAUU